UACAGAGGUCUCAAGCGUUGUUCGGAAUCACUGGGCGUAAAGGGUGCGUAGGCGGCGCGGUAAGUCAGAGGUGAAAUCCCGGAGCUCAACUUCGGAAUUGCCUCCGAUACUGCCGUGCUUGAGGACUGGAGAGGAGAUUGGAAUUCACAGUGGAGCAGUGAAAUGCGUAGAUAUCUGGAGGAACACCGGUGGCGAAGGCGGCAUCCUGGACCGGCACUGACACUGAGGAGCGAAAGCCAGGGGAGCAAACGGG
rnacentral:rRNA from 1 species